CAGUAUUUGGACGUAAUUCUUCUAGUAUCUUGCCAGCGCUUAACUGCGCGGCGAGUGCUAUUAGAAGUCCAUAAGUUCUUACACACAGUGUUUUUUGUUUGUGAAAAAAAUUUACUUUGGUCUGGAGCUAGAAAUAGUUUUGGGCCAGAGGUCAACCUAACUUCAAUUUAUAUUGAAUUGUUUUUAAUUUUAUUUGUCAAAUUAUUGAUAUUAAUCAAAAAUCUUCA
rnacentral:misc_RNA from 1 species